GAAACCCAGGAGAACACCCAGGAAGUCACGGUCGUUGACUUGCAGGACAUUAAUAGUAGUCACAGAUAGACUGACACUGUGGCCAGUGAGACUGCGAGGGGACUGUUUUAGUAAGCUACCCAUCUGUGUUCCUGUGGCUGAAGACAAGGCAAUGACAGAGUAUUAUGUCAUACUCCCAAGGAGGAUGAGCUGGCCAAUCAGUAGUCUAGAGGAGGAUGAGCUGGCCAAUAAGCGGUCUACUCACCAAGAUGAUCAUCAAGGACCUCAGCCACCCGAGCAAAGAGUUUAUGUGUCGUGACGGAAUGAGAAUAAAGUCGUACAUUUCACAAUAACCAAAUCCAGGACCCUCAGCCAGUCACCAAUCAUGCUCAGUACAGCAGCGAAAUAGGCCAACCCCACCAGAAUCCAGAACCACACCAGUGGUCUAUACCAAUUACGAUACACGACCCUCCGGUCCCCUCCUAUAGGAUGUAAACAAACAAUGAAACAUUCAGCAUGAUGAGAUACAUAGGUCGUGUUCAGAAGAGCUAACCAUAGAAAAACAUUUUUAAAUGGUAAACAAAAAUGUGUGUUUCUUAUUGGAUAAGUGCAGGUAAUCCCUCCCUGUGUCAGUCCAUUUUCUUCCUUUUGGUGACUAUUAAACAUGACCCUGAUAAACA